rnacentral:rRNA from 1 species
UCCGUAGGUGAACCUGCGGAAGGAUCAUUACCGAGUGCGGGUCCCCUUCGUGGGACCCAACCUCCCACCCGUGAUUAUUGUACCUCCUGUUGCUUCGGCGCGGCCCCCCGGGGCCCGCCGGAGACAUCUUCUCGAACGCUGUCUUUGAAAAGGAUUGCUGUCUGAGUAAACAUACCAAAUCGGUUAAAACUUUCAACAACGGAUCUCUUGGUUCCGGCAUCGAUGAAGAACGCAGCGAAAUGCGAUAAGUAAUGUGAAUUGCAGAAUUCAGUGAAUCAUCGAAUCUUUGAACGCACAUUGCGCCCCCUGGUAUUCCGGGGGGCAUGCCUGUCCGAGCGUCAUUACUGCCCCUCAAGCGCGGCUUGUGUGUUGGGCCGCCGUCCCCUGCGCCUCCGGGCAAGGGGGACGGGCCCGAAAGGCAGUGGCGGCGCCGCGUCCGGUCCUCGAGCGUAUGGGGCUUUGUCACCCGCUCAGUAGGUCGGGCCGGGGCCUUUGCCCUCUCCAACCUUUUUUUCCUUAGGUGACCUCGGAUCAGGUAGG